ACCGGCGCACGGGUGAGUAACACGUAUGGAACCUGCCCGUAGCAGGGGGAUAAGCGGAAGAAAUUCCGUCUAAUACCGCGUAAUAACUCCGAGAGGCAUCUCCUGGGGUUUAAAGGGUAACACCGGCUACGGAUGGCCAUGCGGCGCAUUAGCUAGUUGGCGGGGUAACGGCCCACCAAGGCGACGAUGCGUAGGGGUUCUGAGAGGAAGGUCCCCCACACUGGUACUGAGACACGGACCAGACUCCUACGGGAGGCAGCAGUGAGGAAUAUUGGUCAAUGGGCGGGAGCCUGAACCAGCCAAGUCGCGUGAGGGAUGACGGUCCUAUGGGUUGUAAACCUCUUUUGCCGGGGAGCAAAGUGCCGCACGUGUGCGGUUUGGAGAGUACCCGGAGAAAAAGCAUCGGCUAACUCCGUGCCAGCAGCCGCGGUAAUACGGAGGAUGCGAGCGUUAUCCGGAUUUAUUGGGUUUAAAGGGUGCGCAGGCGGUCUGUUAAGUCAGCGGUCAAAGCCCGGGGCUCAACCCCGGCCCGCCGUUGAAACUGGCAGUCUCGAGUUGGAGAGAAGUAUGCGGAAUGCGCGGUGUAGCGGUGAAAUGCAUAGAUAUCGCGCAAAACUCCGAUUGCGAANGCAGCAUGCCGGCUCCACACUGACGCUUANGCACGAAAGCGUGGGUNUCGAACAGGAUNANAUACCCUGGUA
rnacentral:rRNA from 1 species